rnacentral:lncRNA from 1 species
AAAACACUGAUGAUAAAGAAGUAAAACAGACUUUUAACCAACUAAAUUUUAGUUAAGCAAAACCCUGACUUAAGCACCUUUAGUUAAUUAAGGUUUUGAAAUACUUAAAUAACAUAAAUGAGACUAAUGUGAAAAACAAAACGUUGAACAAGUGAUUUGAUCAUUAGGUAACCGACCAGUAUAGGCACACCUGGCACAUCUUGCCCAUUUUCCACUGGACCACUAUGGGUCCCAUCUAUUACUGCUCUUUACCCCAAAUACCCUGCUGCUUAAUUCCCAGGGAUGCCAAUUCAUCAGCCUUCCUAACACCUUUCCUUACAAAUGCAGGAACUGAGGCAUUCGAGUCAGCAGUUGGUGACUCUUAUGAUUAGCAGUAUUGUCAUUGAUCUAUGGAGUUAGGAAGAAUUCUCUGAUUGCUGUUCCUCUCAGGUCCUUGCUCCACACAUAGACACUAAACAACCCUCUGUGACUAAGAACUAAAGCUAAUUUAUG